rnacentral:rRNA from 1 species
GACGAACGCUGGCGGCGUGCUUAACACAUGCAAGUCGAACGGAAAGGCCCUGCUUUUGUGGGGUGCUCGAGUGGCGAACGGGUGAGUAACACGUGAGUAACCUGCCCUUGACUUUGGGAUAACUUCAGGAAACUGGGGCUAAUACCGGAUAGGAGCUCCUGCUGCAUGGUGGGGGUUGGAAAGUUUCGGCGGUUGGGGAUGGACUCGCGGCUUAUCAGCUUGUUGGUGGGGUAGUGGCUUACCAAGGCUUUGACGGGUAGCCGGCCUGAGAGGGUGACCGGGCACAUUGGGACUGAGAUACGGCCCAGACUCCUACGGGAGGCAGCAGUGGGGAAUAUUGCACAAUGGGCGGAAGCCUGAUGCAGCAACGCCGCGUGCGGGAUGACGGCCUUCGGGUGGUAAACCGCUUUCGCCUGUGACGAAGCGUGAGUGACGGUAAUGGGUAAAGAAGCACCGGCUAACUACGUG